CAUGUACGGGGGGCGCAGUCAUCUGGGGAGUAGCCAGCCGUCGAUCGCGACGGGCCUUUGCGUCAACAUACUUGGUCGAGAGACCAUGGCGCGAAGGGAGCGGUGUACAGCCGCUCGGGCGAGACCAAUGGCGCCAUGCUUUCCGCUCCUGGCCGGGCGGGAGGGCGUGGUGUCGUUGAGUCGAUCGUCGCC
rnacentral:sRNA from 2 species